UACGUAGGAGACGAGCGUUGUCCGGAAUUACUGGGCGUAAAGCGCGUGUAGGCGGAUAGGCAAGUCUGCUGUGAAAGCUCCUGGCUUAACCGGGAGUGGUCGGUGGAAACUGCCAAUCUGGAGGACGGUAGAGGUAGGUAGAAUUCCCGGUGUAGUGGUGAAAUGCGUAGAGAUCGGGAGGAAUACCUGUGGCGAAGGCGGCCUACUGGGCCGGACCUGACGCUGAGACGCGAAGGCGUGGGAGCGAACGGGAUA
rnacentral:rRNA from 1 species